rnacentral:rRNA from 1 species
CCGUGCCCAAGAGAUCGGGAUAACACCUGGAAACAGAUGCUAAUACCGGAUAACAACAGAUGAUGCCUAUCAACUGUUUAAAAGAUGGUUCUGCUAUCACUCUUGGAUGGACCUGCGGUGCAUUAGCUAGUUGGUAGGAUAACGGCCUACCAAGGCGAUGAUGCAUAGCCGAGUUGAGAGACUGAUCGGCCACAUUGGGACUGAGACACGGCCCAAACUCCUACGGGAGGCAGCAGCC